rnacentral:RNase_P_RNA from 1 species
CGAGUCGGUCGGGCGGCCGCGUCGGGAACCGGGUUCCGAUCCGGGGCCCGUCGAGGAAAGUCCGGACUCCACAGGGCAGGGUGGUUGCCAACGGCAACCCGGGGCGACCCGCGGGACAGUGCCACAGAGAACAGACCGCCUCCGAUCCCCGGAUCGGCGGUGAGGGUGAAACGGUGGUGUAAGAGACCACCAGCACCCCGGGUGACCGGGGUGGCUCGGUAAACCCCACCCGGAGCAAGGUCGAGAGGCCGCACACGCGUGCGGCUGCGCAGGCGUUCGAGGGCUGCCCGCCCGAGCCUGCGGGUGGACCGCUGGAGCCUGCCGGCGACGGCAGGCCGAGAUGGAUGGUCGCCGAACGGUGCACCGUGAGGUGCCCGGGAACAGGAUCCGGCUUACAGACCGGCUCGUCCG